GAGUUUGAUCGUGGCUCAGAAUCAACGCUGGCGGCGUGCCUAACACAUGCAAGUCGAACGCGAAAACCCCGCAAGGGGUGAGUAGAGUGGCAAACGGGUGAGUAACGCGUGGGUGACCUGCCUUCGAGCGGGGGAUAACGUUCCGAAAGGGACGCUAAUACCGCAUAACAUCCUGCCUUUGAACAGGUGGAGAUCAAAGCUGGGGAUUCGCAAGAACCCGGCACUUGAAGAGGGGCCCGCGUCUGAUUAGCUAGUUGGUGAGGUAACGGCUCACCAAGGCGACGAUCAGUAUCCGGCCUGAGAGGGCGGACGGACACACUGGGACUGAGACACGGCCCAGACUCCUACGGGAGGCAGCAGUGGGGAAUUGUUCGCAAUGGGCGCAAGCCUGACGACGCAACGCCGCGUGGAGGAUGAAGAUUUUCGGAUCGUAAACUCCUGUCGAAUGGGACGAAAAGGUCACGGUUUAAUAUCCCGUGAUCCUGACGGUACCGUUAAAGGAAACCCCGGCUAACUCCGUGCCAGCAGCCGCCGUAA
rnacentral:rRNA from 1 species